rnacentral:tRNA from 2 species
GGAAAGGUCGCAUAGUUGGUCUAGUGCGCACGCUUGGAAAGCGUGUGUGGGGCAACUCACCGCGAGUUCGAAUCUCGCCCUUUCCG